CAGCCGCAGUGAUCCCUGUCUAUUUCCCUCUCUUUCCUUGGAAGAGGUGGAGGCUGUUUGGUUGGAGAUGUGGGUCGGAAGUACCGUAGUUUAUGUAUGCUAAUAGGGAGAGUUGGGGGUUGUAGCUAGAUAUUUACGUUCAGUGGGAGCCGCCCUUCAUUCACCCACAUGGUUACCAACUGGUCGCCUUCGCGCCACUUUCCUAACCCUGCAAUCAUUUUUAACCAGCUUAUCUGGCCUAUAUAUUCACUCCCAAUCGGUUCGGAUUUCACUUUAUGUUUUGGUUUUGUCCUCCGGUAGAAAAGUUUUCGGAUUAGUUACGUAUUUAUUUCUCUCUUUUGUCGGCAAGAGACUACACGGCAGCCCAAGCAAGUGAGCGAAGAUGGUGGAUUUCGGCUGACCCACUGUGAAGUGCAGGACCCCAGCCACAACUGCAACAGUGUGACCAUCUUCCCAUGGUGCUGGAGGGCAGCAAUGCAGUAAUCAGUCUGUGUAUUGUCAAAGUGCUUACAGUGCAGGUAGUACUAUGUAAUACCUACUGCAGUGGAGGCACUUACAGCAAUACCCUGACACUGAUAUGCUGAUUCUUUCAUGUUACAUGCCAUUUGAAGUACUGUCUUUGUGCUAAGGUGCAUCUAGUGCAGAUAGUGAAAUAGACUAGCACCUACUGCCCUAAGUGCUCCUUCUGGCAUAAGGGGCUGUGAUAUGCGCCACCAGACCAUUUUUAAUUUCUAAUUGGGCUCAAAUAUCUUGCAGUUCUCUGCUAGUUUUGCAUAGUUGCACUACAAGAAUAGAUGAGUUGUGCAAAUCUAUGCAAAACUGAUGGUGGCCUGCUUGCUCUCCACCUGUUUAGAUUUUUUUGGUUUUGGGGGUGUCACAUCAAACACAACCUGAUUGCAUACUACACAUGUAAUGCUGUUUUUUGUUUUUUAAUAAACCAGGAGUUUUGCCGGUUCUCAUCCAGUGACAGUUUCAGCAGUACUAAAGUGCUUAUAGUGCAGGUAGUGUUUUCUCUUAUCUACUGCAAUAUGAGCACUUGAAGUACUUCUAACUAACUGCAUCUUUCUGAAGCUCAGAUGUGUUUUUUUAAAAAAACAAACAAAAAAAACGUCCAAGACUCCUUUGUUAAUCAUCACAUGGUCAGUUUUGCUGGUUUGCAUUCAGCUUUAACUGUUGUUUGCUGUGCAAAUCCAUGCAAAACUGACUAGGUUGAUGAACUGCUUUCUGCUAAGUGGAAUUUCUUUGCAUCAAGAUAUGUAUAUAUUUUUUUUCACUGAGUGGUGAGUAUUUGCAUAUACUGGAUAUUUGGAGCUGUCCCUUCCUGUGCAGGUGGGGAUUAGUAGCAAUGCUGUGUACAUGGAGGUAUUGCACUUGUCCCGGCCUGUGUAGGAACGAGGAGAUGAAGGCUCACUGUAUCUUGAACCAAGGCUUUUGGAUACUCACAGCUACUUGUCCUAUUUUGGCCUGUUUGAGCUUUUUGAAAUGCAUAUGCUAAUGAGGAUGAGUUCAAAGUGAUUAAUUGUAAUGUUGUUUGAAAUAUAUUAAAGUUUAUAUGUGUUCUU